AAAGCUGAAACCUACAACAUCCAUGGUGACAGGGUUUUCUUUUCUUUUUUAGACUGUAAUCAUCUUUGUAGCAUAUUGUUCUGGGAUCAGCACCUUUGGGGAUACAUUAGUACGGCGAUUGACGGAAAGAAGCUGAAGAGGGAAACCAAAGUGAACCCAGCCAAGGUGUCUAGAACUGUGGAACUGUGGAAACCUACCAGGAAUAUUGCAUUGCAAGGAAGAUAUUGCUGGCUGAAGUUCCUCUCCAUUUUGGACAGUCAGAUCAGCUUUCCUCAUAGACAAGAGCAAUAGUUUUCUCCGUGAUAUUUGAAACCCUUGCCUUCUAGUCAUGUCUGUGCCACGUGCUUCUUAUUCAAAGGACAACUGUUGAAUAACCAUGCAGCAAAGUCACAGAGCCAGGGCAAUAAAUAAGGGGAAGCACAAGCGCA
rnacentral:lncRNA from 1 species